rnacentral:rRNA from 1 species
CACGUAGGGUGCGAGCGUUGUCCGGAAUUAUUGGGCGUAAAGAGCUCGUAGGCGGUGUGUCGCGUCGGCCGUGAAAACCUGCAGCUUAACUGUGGGCUUGCGGUCGAUACGGGCAUCACUGGAGUUCGGCAGGGGAGACUGGAAUUCCUGGUGUAGCGGUGAAAUGCGCAGAUAUCAGGAGGAACACCGGUGGCGAAGGCGGGUCUCUGGGCCGAUACUGACGCUGAGGUGCGAAAGCGUGGGGAGCAAACAGG